AAACUUUCAACAACGGAUCUCUUGGUUCUGGCAUCGAUGAAGAACGCANCGAAAUGCGAUAAGUAAUGUGAAUUGCAGAAUUCAGUGAAUCAUCGAAUCUUUGAACGCACCCGGACUGGCCCAGGGAGGUGGGCAACCACCACCCAGGGCCGGAAAGCUCUCCAAACUCGGUCAUUUAGAGGAAGUAAAAGUCGUAACAAGGUCUCCGUUGGUGAACCAGCGGAGGGAUCAUUACCGAGUUUACACUCCCAAACCCCCUGUGAACCUCUACCGAACGUUGCCUCGGCGGGGGCGCGGACGCGCGCCGUCCCGCCCCCGCCGGGGGACCCAAACCAAAAACUCUUGUAUCCUCCCAUCGUGGCAUGUCUGAGUGGAUUUAUCAAAUGAAUCAAAACUUUCAACAACGGAUCUCUUGGUUCUGGCAUCGAUGAANAACGCANCGAAAUGCGAUAAGUAAUGUGAAUUGCANAAUUCANUGAAUCAUCGAAUCUUUGAACGCAC
rnacentral:rRNA from 1 species